rnacentral:lncRNA from 1 species
UGGGUUUGGGUUUUAAAAUUUUAACAGCAAGUCCAACUUACAAGCUGGAGGUGUGAAGUUCAAAAGAAGUUGUAGGAGGAAGAAAAUUAGGUUGUCAUGAAAGAUACGAUUGACAUACAGCAUGAAAGACGUAGAAAAUUGUGCUUCUGUGUGUCAAAAAUCAGACUUUUUUGACUAUAUACUGGCAGAAGUAUUCUCUUUAAUAUCACUUGUGUGUCGCUUGUCUUCAAAUAUGUGUACAUUACUGUAGAACUACAAUAAGGCAAGAAGCAGCUAACCCAAAAAAGACUGAGUCAAAGGGUUGUGGCUCAAGGCAGCCACUCCAACAAUGACUCCUUUUUUCCAUAUAUUCUUUCAUUGAAUUUUCCUCUUUCUUUGCUUUUUUUUGCACUCCGGCCUGAAAAUAGCUGCAGAUCAAUACAAAGAAGAGCUGGCAGCUGAAGAAGAGUAAAGCAACAGGAAACAGCCGAGUUUCCCCAAUUACUUUCGUUGCUAAGUAUGGAGUGCUUGGUGAUAAGCAAAACAGUAAGAUUUAUAACAACUGGGUUAUGCAAAUAAGGGUUUAACUCUAUAUGACAAUAGCAUAUAAGUUGCUUUUGCUCAUCUUUCAUAAACAAAAUUUGAAAGCUACUAUAUGAUGGAUUGGAUAGAUGGCAUGUGAUUAAAGAAAACAAAAGCUAUUAAAACUUUCCUCAGUAUCAGCUGGCUGCAACUCUCUGGACACCGCACUGCCUUCCCUGCAGAGAGAAACUUUUAAGGUCAGACUAAAGCUGUUGAACUACAUUUGCUAUGGAAAUACUCACCACAGUCAAUGUCCGCUCUCACAUUACCCCUCUGGUUGCUAUGGUUUCCAACCAUCCUCAUCCCUCUCUUGGAGUCUUUUACAAUGUCAGGAUAGGCUGUAGGUAGUGGCCUAUGCUGCACAUACAGGGACCUAUAUAGGAUAUCUAAGAGGACUACUCUGACUGUCUAUUUUGUUACGUCUCCAGCAGCUUUUAAGAACCAUGAAUUAUAACACAGGCCUGCCAGAUAAGAGAUUAGAGGAGAUGAUGGGGAAGUCUUAAUAAUCCCUUGAGCUCUAGAAUAAGUCGUUGAUUCUUGGGGAUACAGACAAGAAAAACAAGAAGGCCAAGCAAAAGGACCAGCUUCUUUGAAUUUGAAGUCACACAAGUAAUGAUCACAUGGUUAAAAGCUGCACAUGUUGACUGUGGCUGUUUCUGGCAAGGGCAGUGUGGCCCCUAACAACUCUGCAAGGAUUUGCAUAAUCAAAAGAUUUAGAUGCAUAAUAAGCUCAUAAUUACAAAUAUCUGUCUGGAACUGCUUGACCAAAUUGUAAUCUCAAUGGGGACUGCAUCUGUGAUUGCAUUUGUGUCAAAACUGUGUAAAAGAAAGACUGGCCUGCAUAGAAUAUAGGUGUGCAUGUGAAGACCAAAAACAGUGCAGGGGUUCUGCUUAUCCUCUCAACUGGAUUUUGUUAAUCUACUCAUCAAGUGCCAUUUACAUAACUACUUCAAUGUAGCUGCAAUUUAGCAAUUACUGCCCCCAUUUCCUUCAUUGCCCACAAUGUGGCAUCAGCUCUCACUCCCAGACUUUUAAUCUCACUUUCUCCCUUGAGUCCUGUUGCUUUUAUUCUUUUCAAGUCCUUCAACUGCCAGCUCUCCUUCCUUUUUAGCCUAAGUCCCUGCUCCUCUGAACUUGAAAGUUGUUUGUCCCUUGUGUGUUACACAAGACUGAAAGCAAAAAGCUUAACCUCAUUGUUUGGGCCACAUCCACAUGUUCAAGACAGUAAAUGAUGCAUACAAAUGACAGAUUUUAAGGCAGACCAUUUAACUCUAAGUGUGCUGCAAGUAAUCUCUCAGCAGAUCAUACAGUAGAUGGAUCAUGUAAUUAAACAUUUGGUUGGUUGGCUGGGACUAAAAUCAUUAAAAUAUGUGAAGUUCCAAUGCUUGAUCAAAU